AUCAAGAUUACCAGGAGUUAAAUAAUGUUAAGUACAAAGUUAACACAAGGUUAAAUGCAGUUGUAUGACAGCUGGACCAUGUACGGGUAUUCUGUAGAAGGAAAAGGUAACUGUAAGUAGCUGUUUGUUACAUCAGACUCCUGCACACUGAGCAAGCACCUGGAAACACUGUAAAAGAGGUCAGUGAACGUGGAACGAAUUGUUAAUUUAUUUUAAAAAAAAUGCAGCUGCUAAAGUGGUAGCUCAUUGAACUAAUCUCUUACUUCCUUAUCAAUUAUUUAUCCUUCCUCUCAUUACCUACUGAGAUUACACAUCAAUUUUAUAGAAAUUUUAUACCUGACUUAAUUAUCUGAGACUAUUUGUAUAUAACUCCUUAUUUACAAGAUAAUGAUGGGAAGGAGUGUCUUAAACAACUUACUGGUAAAGAACAUAUAGAAACUAUAGUGCCACAAAAUCAAAUGCAGGGUGAGUGUUUGUUUCAUGCUGACAGUAGUUGGCAGGCAGCAUUAGCAUGUUACCCAGGACUGGUAGACAGUCAUUAUCCCGAGGAUCACCUUUUAAGAUCUUUUCCUUAAACCACGCGUAUUACCUAAAAUUAUACAUCUAGUAAUCUUAUAGAGAUUUCUUAUUAAUGCUUUCAUAGAUGGCUCUUCAAAAGAACAAGGAGGACAUGUUUUAUAUACAAAUUCUACGUCAUCCACAAAAAAAAAGAUUGUACCCAUCACUGCCUAUCCCUUUAACAGUCUGAACUUGCAAUAGUCAGUCAGCCUUUAUUAGAUGCUUCUUGGCCACUAAAUAUAUUAACUGGCUCUGCAUGUUACGUUUCUCUUUUAGAAACUGCAAAGCUUAACCCCACUACAAAUGUCAUUUCACUUGCUCCAGAUAUGUAUACAACAAUAAACCCAACCUUUCUUCACAACACACAUUCGUGCUCGUUGUAAUCUCCCAGGUGUGGUAACAUCUGCCAGGUUCAAGCCGAGGUUAAGAUGGCCUCCUCCUUGAUCCUAAAACUUUCUUUUCAGGCUGCCCCAGAAAUCUAACUUCUUCUACACCACCACUGCCAUCUGCUGGUGGAAUUUAUGAAGUAAGCCUCAAAGAAAAUAAACGAAGUUCCAGAUAGCUCCCACUCUGAAACACCUGACCAGGACAGCAUCCCGGAGACCACUGGACAGAUAAAGUAUCGGAACAAAGCCACCCAGAAGAAAUGCCCCAGGAAGAACAAGUCAAUAACGUGGGGAAGCAACAAAGUCUCAAUACCACUGACCCAAAACCGAGGCUGCUCUGCUUAAGGACAACAUUACAAGCUAAUUCUCAAUUUGCCAAUGCAGAAUCCAAAUGCCUUUGUCAGAGGGGGAAUGGGGAAGGCACACCCGUAUUAGGAGACACUGUGAUGCUCUCUUGCCAUGCUGAGGACUGUUUUUGCUUGGUUACUUGGUUGGUUGGCUGUUUUGUUUUGUUUCGUUUUGGAGUCAGGGUUUCUCCAUGUAGCCUUGUCUACCCUGGAACUCACUCUGUAGACCAGGCUGGCCUCAAACUCAGAGAUCUGCCUGCCUCUUCCUCCCAAGUGCUGGGAUCAAAGGCAUGCGACACCACCACCAGGUUGAGGACUGCUUUUAUGCUUUUUUAAUUACCAGUCCCAGGAGUGAUUACUGAACUACAAAGAGAGAGUUCAAAAGUAGCUUGUAUGAUUACUAAAACUAUUAAGACACACACACACACACACACACACACACACACACACACACGUUUUAGCAGAAAUCAAUCAAGAGAUGGGUUAAGCUGAGAGCCAGAGUUGUACAAAACAGAACUAUAACAGAUAUUUUGUUGCUCAAGUAUAAUUUCAGUUGUCAACAAUUGCCCUGAAUACAUUGCUUUACUGUCCACCUCUAAGCUCGCUUCCAUAUUAACUGCAUUUGUAUUUGGUGUGACUAACGAUUAACGUGUGUAUCUUAGUCAUCUUUAACAGUUUACAAUAAGAGAACAACUCUUUUAUCAGACCAGGAUUUUGUAAUCGGAUCCCUGGUUAAAUUUGACCCUUAAAAUUGUAAUUCUUAAAGAUCUUUAAGUAUCAAAGUAAACUUUAAAACGCAAAUACAGCCCACAGAGACUGGGAACUUCAUUUUCCUAAUCUUUAAUAAUGCACUUUUUACAGAAUACUAGGGUGGUUUUUUUUAAUAUGAUGGCUAAAGCUUGACAAAGACAUAGCCAUCACAGUUCUUACAUGAUCCCGUUUUACAGCAAAGCAUUUUUGAAGCCUGAUAUUGCUUUUUAGCCUAGAAACAGAAUACAGUGAUAAGCAGAGGAAUACCUCCUUAAUCACCUUAACCAAGAUGGUGCUCCCAUCUUGAUGAGGUCAUCAGUCGAGACGGUGACAAGCUACGUAGUUGCUAGGUCAUUGUUAAGUUUCAAGCUAGGGAUCAGCAGUGGAGGUGUCUAUUUAACAUAUCAAAGCAUACCCGGCCGCCAGGAUCUCCCAGCAUCUCUGAGUCCCUACCUGUCAUAGGGUAUGACUGGAAUAUCCUGCCUUCUACCCUGAACUCUCCAGUCCAGGAGCUGAGCUGCCUUUCCUCCAGAGGUUCUUCCCUAUAUAAUCCAAACAUUGGUUAUCUCCUUUGCUCCUCCUGUACUUUUGGCCUCCUGGCAACUGCACUUGGCUCCCCUCUGUCCUUUCCCCUCCACCUCUCACCGACAUGGUUCAAGGUCAAGACCACUCUGGACUCUCCCAGAUGUGUCUGCCUCCGCCUAUGCUCUCCCACAUACCUAUAAUAAACUUUCUGUAUCACCACACCUAGGAGCAGACAUGACCUUCCAUUUCCUCCUUAUUUCUUUUUUUUUUUUAUUCAGUCAUCAGCCAAGAUGGCUACAGCCAUAAUGGUAAUUAUUUACUCCAAGGUGAACCUAAGUCAUCAGCCAACAUGGAAGGAAGGCAUGUAAGUCCUUAACGUGUUUGUAGGCCAGAGCCUUGAGGAAGAGUAAAGUGAACCGUAUGUUUUAUGAGUGAGGUGCCUCAAACCACGAUAGCAUUCUGUCUUGUGGCAUUAUCUAAAUCAGUUUAGGUAUUAGAAAUCGAAAGACUUUGGGCCAGCAGGAGCCAUUUGUCCGGUGAAUAUUAAGGCCAAAUUUGGACUGUGAGUUUAAUAAAUGAGCUUGGUAUGAGGUUUACCAAAUGGAGCCUUUUGGAUUAGCCUGUAGUGAGGCUGAGGCUGGGUACUUUGGAAUGGAGAAACCCAUAGCAGGGUCCAGGGCACCCUCCCAAAAUCCUGAGUAUCGUUAGGCCCGAACGCUGAUUCUCUCAGUGAAGAGAACACUUCUUAUGAAAGCGAUCCCAUGUACUUGCAUCCUGCAUCAAUAGAAUCUAUCCUCAUGAUUAUUACAAAUCCUUCAUCCCCAGACCCCUUACCCUGAGCACAGCUAUCAGUCAACAGAACUCAUUCUUAUUGUGAAGGUCACAGGUGCUUUGCUACUUUGCAAGGGAGUUUCCAAGUAGCUAUCCCUGAAGCUUUGUCGUGAUAAUUGUCACGUGGAGAUUUUUCUCAAAGUUUUACUGUGUUUAAAUGUGUAAGAAAAAUAUAUCACGAGACCGGACCCUGGAACUUUCCGAGCUAGAGCAUACUAAAACGAUACUGACCCGGUUUCCAUUCAGAUCAGUUUCCUGCCGGCAGUGACGCAAGCAGGGACCCCC